GACGAACGCUGGCGGCGUGCUUAACACAUGCAAGUCGAGCGGUAAGGCCCUUUCGGGGGUACGACGAGCGGCGAACGGGUGAGUAACACGUGGGUGGACCUCGCCCUCCAGCCCUCGGGAGUAAAGCCUCGGGAAACCGGGGUACCGUAAUAACUGGAUAUGACUCCAUGACGCAUGUUGUGGGGUGGAAAGCCUUGUGCGGCUGAGGAUGGGCCCGCGGCCUAUCAGCUUGUUGGUGGGGUGAUGGCCUACCAAGGCGACGACGGGUAGCCGGCCUGAGAGGGCGACCGGCCACACUGGGACUGAGACACGGCCAGACUCCUACGGGAGGCAGCAGUGGGGAAUCUUGCGCAAUGGGCGAAAGCCUGACGCAGCGACGCCGCGUGAGGGAUGACGGCCU
rnacentral:rRNA from 1 species